rnacentral:rRNA from 1 species
GAUGAACGCUGGCGGCGUGCCUAAUACAUGCAAGUCGAACGAACAGACGAGGAUCUUGCUCCUCGGACGUUAGCGGCGGACGUGUGAGUAACACGUGGAUAACCUACCUAUAAGACUGAGAUAACCUCGGGAAACCGGAGCUAAUACCGGAGAAUAUAUUGAACCGCAUGGGUCAAUAGUGAAAGACGGCUUUGCGGGCACGUCUAGAUGGAUCCGAGCCGCAUUAGCUAGUUGGUAAGGUAACGGCUUACCAAGGCAAGUAUGCGUAGCCGACCUGAUAGGGGGGUAGGCGACCCGGGAGGGUAGCCACGGUCCAGAGUCCUACGGGAGGCAGCAGAAGGGUAUGGUACGCAGUAGGCGAGAGCAUUACGGAGCAACGCGGCGCGAGAGAUGGCGGUGUCGCGAGCGUGAAAAUGGGUUUCGAGGUAAGAACAGAUGUGUACUGAACUAUAGAGGUCUUGACGGUAAUUAGUAAGAAAGCAACGGCUAACUACGUG